rnacentral:misc_RNA from 1 species
GAUGAAGAACGCAGCGAAAUGCGAUAAGUAGUGUGAAUUGCAGAAUUCAGUGAAUCAUCGAAUCUUUGAACGCACAUUGCGCCCAUUAGUAUUCUAGUGGGCAUGCCUGUUCGAGCGUCAUUUCAACCCUUAAGCCUAGCUUAGUAUUGGGAAUCGACUUUACUGUCGUUCCUCAAAUUCAACGGCGGAUUUAUAGCAAUCUCUGAACGUAGUAAUUUUUUUUCUCGUUUUUGAAAUACUAUAAACCUCAGCCGCUAAACCCCCAAUUUCUUAUGGUUGACCUCGGAUCAGGUAGGAAUACCCGCUGAACUUAAGCAUAUCAAUAAGCGGAGGA